rnacentral:rRNA from 1 species
GUGCAGCAGUCGAGAAUCUUCCGCAAUGGACGAAAGUCUGACGGAGCGACGCCGCGUGAACGAUGAAGUGCCUCGGCAUGUAAAGUUCUUUUGCCAGGGAGAAAGUUUAUUGAUAGUACUUGGCGAAUAAGAGGUUGCUAAACUCGUGCCAGCAGCAGCGGUAAUACGAGUGCCUCAAGCGUUAUCCGGAAUCAUUGGGCGUAAAGGUUGUGUAGGUGGUCAUAUUAGUCUCUUGUUAAAUUCUUCGGCUUAAACCGGGGGCAUGCAAGGGAAACGGUAUGACUUGAGGAUGCGAGGGGUCUGCGGAACUCAUAGUGUAGCGGUGAAAUGCGUUGAUAUUAUGGGGAACACCAAAAGCGAAGGCAGCAGACUGGAGCACUCCUGACACUGAAACAAGAAAGCGUGGGUCGCGAAUGGGAUUAGAUACCCCUGUAGU